ACGUACACUCCUACGGGAGGCAGCAGUGGGGAAUAUUGCACAAUGGGCGCAAGCCUGAUGCAGCCAUGCCGCGUGUAUGAAGAAGGCCUUCGGGUUGUAAAGUACUUUCAGCGGGGAGGAAGGCAAUACGGUUAAUAACCGUGUUGAUUGACGUUACCCGCAGAAGAAGCACCGGCUAACUCCGUGCCAGCAGCCGCGGUAAUACGGAGGGUGCAAGCGUUAAUCGGAAUUACUGGGCGUAAAGCGCACGCAGGCGGUCUAUCAAGUCGGAUGUGAAAUCCCCGGGCUCAACCUGGGAACUGCAUGCGAAACUGGCAGGCUUGAGUCUUGUAGAGGGGGGUAGAAUUCCAGGUGUAGCGGUGAAAUGCGUAGAGAUCUGGAGGAAUACCGGUGGCGAAGGCGGCCCCCUGGACAAAGACUGACGCUCAGGUGCGAAAGCGUGGGGAGCAAACAGGAUUAGAUACCCCGGUAGUCCCAUGAU
rnacentral:rRNA from 1 species